AAAACUGACCGAGUAAAUGUGAAUAUUUUUUCACUUGAACACUCUGAUCUGUUUGGAACUUAAUUUCCUUACUCAUGAAAUUAAUAUAAUAAGGCUAAGUUGGUCAGUAGUUAAACUAACUAAAUUUGGCUGAAGAUUGCUAUGUUCACUAUGCAAAGAUUAGACCGUUAGUUCCCUGAGUGAAGAGAUGCUAUCUUGGUAUCUCCAGCUUCCAACCGGGGGCUUGGCACAGAAUAGGGGCUUGGUAAAUGUUUUCCAAAUGAAUGGGAUGUCUGAUGGAAAGAAGACAAGGUGAAGGAAUUCCUGGGUAAUAUGGAGAUGAGAAUCUGUGAGAAGGAUACAUGUACUGAUGCCUGUCGCGGUGGACACACAGACGCACACAUUGCGGAACACCACCAUAAGAAUAUUGAGAAUAUCGAGAACACUUCAAUAUUCCAAACUUCAAUGGAAAUAUACAUGCUGUAAAAUUUCAAAUUCAUGCUCCACUUCUUAUAAAAGGAACUGGAGUACACUCUUCUUCUGCCCUUGGACAUCAGGCUCUCUGGCCUUUGGACUCCAGGACUUAUACCAGCGCCCCUCUGGGUUCUCAGGCCUCUGUACUUGAACUGAGCCACACUGCCAGCAUGCCAGCUUCUCCAGCUUGCCAGGCCUGCUGUGGGACUUCUCAGCCUCCAUAAUCAUGUGUGCCAAUUCCCCUAAUA
rnacentral:lncRNA from 1 species